AUUGAACGCUAACGGCGUGCUUAACACAUGCAAGUCGAACGGUAACGCGGGGCAACCUGGCGACGAGUGGCGAACGGGUGAGUAAUGUAUCGGAACGUGCCCAGUUGUGGGGGAUAACUGCUCGAAAGAGCAGCUAAUACCGCAUACGACCUGAGGGUGAAAGCGGGGGAUCGCAAGACCUCGCGCAAUUGGAGCGGCCGAUAUCAGAUUAGGUAGUUGAUGGGGUAAAGGCUCACCAAGCCAACGAUCUGUAGCUGGUCUGAGAGGACGACCAGCCACACUGGGACUGAGACACGGCCCAGACUCCUACGGGAGGCAGCAGUGGGGAAUUUUGGACAAUGGACGCAAGUCUGAUCCAGCCAUGCCGCGUGCGGGAAGAAGGCCUUCGGGUUGUAAACCGCUUUUGUCAGGGAAGAAACGCUCUGGGUUAAUACCUCGGGGUAAUGACGGUACCUGAAGAAUAAGCACCGGCUAACUACGUGCCAGCAGCCGCGGUAA
rnacentral:rRNA from 1 species